rnacentral:rRNA from 1 species
UACGUAGGGGGCGAGCGUUGUCCGGAAUUAUUGGGCGUAAAGGGCUCGUAGGCGGUCUGUCGCGUCGGGAGUGAAAACUCAGGGCUUAACCCUGAGCCUGCUUCCGAUACGGGCAGACUAGAGGUAUGCAGGGGAGAACGGAAUUCCUGGUGUAGCGGUGGAAUGCGCAGAUAUCAGGAGGAACACCGGUGGCGAAGGCGGUUCUCUGGGCAUUACCUGACGCUGAGGAGCGAAAGUGUGGGGAGCGAACAGG